UCCUACGGGAGGCAGCAGUGGGGAAUAUUGCACAAUGGGGGAAACCCUGAUGCAGCGACGCCGCGUGAGUGAGGAAGUAUUUCGGUAUGUAAAGCUCUAUCAGCAGGGAAGAAAAUGACGGUACCUGACUAAGAAGCCCCGGCUAACUACGUGACAGCAGCCGCGGUAAUACGUAGGGGGCAAGCGUUAUCCGGAUUUACUGGGUGUAAAGGGCGCGUAGGCGGGAUAGCAAGUCAGUCGUGAAAUGCCGAGGCUUAACCUCGGAGCUGCGAUUGAAACUGUUAUUCUUGAGUAUCGGAGAGGAA
rnacentral:rRNA from 1 species